rnacentral:rRNA from 1 species
UACGGAGGAUCCGAGCGUUAUCCGGAUUUAUUGGGUUUAAAGGGUGCGCAGGCGGGAGAUUAAGUCGGCGGUGAAAUUUUGCAGCUCAACCGUAAAAGUGCCUUCGAAACUGGUUUCCUUGAGUGUAGAUGAAGUAGGCGGAAUUUGUGGUGUAGCGGUGAAAUGCAUAGAUAUCACGAGGAACUCCGAUUGCGCAGGCAGCUUACUAAACUACUACUGACGCUCAGGCACGAAGGCGUGGGGAUCAAACAGGAUUAGAUACCCGCGUAGUCCU